rnacentral:siRNA from 1 species
GGCUGAUUAUCAGAUGUGCCAUUG